rnacentral:rRNA from 1 species
UACGUAGGGGGCAAGCGUUGUCCGGAUUUAUUGGGCGUAAAGAGCGUGUAGGCGGCCAGGUAGGUCAGCUGUGAAAACUCGGAGGCUCAACCUCGAGACGCCGGUUGAAACCAUCUGGCUAGAGUCCGGAAGAGGAGAGUGGAAUUCCUGGUGUAGCGGUGAAAUGCGCAGAUAUCAGGAAGAACACCCGUGGCUAAGGCGGCUCUCUAGUACGGUACUGACGCUGAAGACGCGAAAGCGUGGGGAGCGAACAGG